rnacentral:rRNA from 1 species
UACGUAGGGUGCGAGCGUUGCCCGGAUUUAUUGGGCGUAAAGAGCUCGUAGGCGGUCUGUUGCGUCGGCUGUGAAAACCCGGGGCUCAACCCCGGGCCUGCAGCCGAUACGGGCAGACUAGAGUUCGGCAGGGGAGACUGGAAUUCCUGGUGUAGCGGUGAAAUGCGCAGAUAUCAGGAGGAACACCGGUGGCGAAGGCGGGUCUCUGGGCCGAUACUGACGCUGAGGAGCGAAAGCGUGGGGAGCGAACAGG